UACGAGGGGGGCGAGCGUUGUUCGGAAUUAUUGGGCGUAAAGGGCGCGUAGGCGGUCGGAUAAGUCUUGUGUGAAAUCUUCGGGCUCAACUCGAAGUCUGCACAGGAAACUAUCUGGCUUGAGUGUGGGAGAGGUGAGUGGAAUUCCUGGUGUAGCGGUGAAAUGCGUAGAUAUCGGGAGGAACACCGGUGGCGAAGGCGGCGAUCUGGGUAGAUACUGACGCUGAGGUGCGAAAGCGUGGGGAGCAAACAGG
rnacentral:rRNA from 1 species